GACGAACGCUGACGGUGUGCUUUAGACAUGCAAGUCGAGCGAGAAAGCCCUUCGGGGUUAGUAAAGCGGCGAACGGGUGAGUAACACGUGGGCAAUCUGCCCCUCGCAGGGGGACAACCGGGGGAAACUCCGGCUAAUACCCCGUAAGUUUCCAAAGUCGCAUGGCUUUGGAAAGAAAGGUAGCUUCGGCCAUCCGGCGAGGGAUGAGCCCGCGGUACAUUAGUUAGUUGGUGGGGUAACGGCCUACCAAGGCGGCGAUGAUAGCUGGUCUGAGAGGAUGAUCAGCCACACUGGGACUGAGACACGGCCCAGACUCCUACGGGAGGCAGCAGUCGGGAAUCUUGCACAAUGGGCGAAAGCCUGAUGCAGCAACACCGUGUGAGCGAUGAAGGCCCUAGGGUCGUAAAGCUCUGUUGUUGGGGACGAAGGGCGAAGGGUUAAUAGCCCCUAGCUUGACGGUACCCUUCGAGGAAGCUCCGGCUAACUACGUGCCA
rnacentral:rRNA from 1 species